AGUGUGAUGUGAUAUGUCUAUUUCGUACAAAGGGCCAGUUGACUGAACUAGAUUUAUUUAUUUUUACCACUUUCACUGCCAAAUUUGCUAUUACAUGAUCAUUUUAAGAAUGGAUGGAUUUAUGUGCUUCUUGAUUGUAAUUAAAACCCAAAUUUGCUGGAUGGUUACUUUCAGGGUAAGCUGAUGAAUGGUUAGGAAAUAGCAGGGAAAAGGCUUUCCAAGAAUUUGGGGCAAGGGAAUGAAGAAUUCAAAAAUGAGGUUUUGUUGAUUGCAAAACUUCAACACAUGAAUCUUGUUAGGAUUAUCAAAUUGGCAGUUAUCUGCCAAUUGUUUUCUUUGGUGUAGGCCACAUGAUGAGUGGACAAGCCUGAUUUUUAUGUUGAGCAUUCUUCGUGGUGGGGGCCAAACCUUUUGGACGAGUGGGAUGUUGUACACACUUGACACUUUGGAAUUUACGCUCUAGGUGGACGGUUUGCCACAUCUUGAUGUUAGAAUAAAGUGGCCAAAUGAUCUUUACUUAAAUGGCCUUAAAGUUGGCGGCAUCCUGUGCACCUCAAUAUAUAAAUCAAAUAAGUUCAAUAAUGAGCUUCUUGAUGUCAUGGGGCAAAGAAGAUUUAGUAUUGGAGUGAUGGGGGACUACCUGAAAUGGAGUAGCUGAUACACUGAUAAAU